GAAGACCCAGAAGAAACAAAAGGCAAGCGAAUGACUUUAUUUUACUGAAAAAAAAAAAACUUGAAUGAAGAGAGCCAAAGUACAUGGUGAUGUGAGUGUGAGUCAUGGAACUUGUUCUUUUUUCUGAAUAAUUAUUUCACUUAAGAAGACAUCCAGAUACAUCCAGAUAAUUUGACUAUUUGCCGACCUCUUGGAUGUACCAUAGAUUCUUAUGCAUUGGAUCCUUGAAGACUUAACGCUUCAGGAUGGCAUGCUGGGCACACAAGUUCACUUCCCCCUUGCAAAGCCACAUGACAUUUACGGUAAAGAAAUAAGGCAGAAAUAAAGCCAUGACACUACUGUGACCAGAAGGAAGGCCAUCCGAGAGAAAUAUACUUUUGUGAAGUUCUUGGCAAGAAGAAAGAGGAGAGGACCAGGCCGGGCGCGGUA
rnacentral:lncRNA from 1 species